rnacentral:rRNA from 1 species
UACGAAGGGGGCGAGCGUUGUUCGGAAUUACUGGGCGUAAAGGGCGCGUAGGCGGCCAUCUAAGUCAGACGUGAAAUCCCCCGGCUUAACCUGGGAACUGCGUCUGAUACUGGAAGGCUUGAGUAUGGGAGAGGGAUGUAGAAUUCCAGGUGUAGCGGUGAAAUGCGUAGAUAUCUGGAGGAAUACCGGUGGCGAAGGCGGCAUCCUGGACCAUUACUGACGCUGAGGCGCGAAAGCUAGGGGAGCAAACGGG